UCUGGGAUAAGUGGCACUGUUUGGG
rnacentral:piRNA from 1 species